rnacentral:rRNA from 1 species
AUUGAACGCUGGCGGCAGGCCUAACACAUGCAAGUCGAGCGGAUGAAGGGAGCUUGCUCCUGGAUUCAGCGGCGGACGGGUGAGUAAUGCCUAGGAAUCUGCCUGGUAGUGGGGGAUAACGUCCGGAAACGGGCGCUAAUACCGCAUACGUCCUGAGGGAGAAAGUGGGGGAUCUUCGGACCUCACGCUAUCAGAUGAGCCUAGGUCGGAUUAGCUAGUUGGUGGGGUAAAGGCCUACCAAGGCGACGAUCCGUAACUGGUCUGAGAGGAUGAUCAGUCACACUGGAACUGAGACACGGUCCAGACUCCUACGGGAGGCAGCAGUGGGGAAUAUUGGACAAUGGGCGAAAGCCUGAUCCAGCCAGGCCGCGUGUGUGAAGAAGGUCUUCGGAUUGUAAAGCACUUUAAGUUGGGAGGAAGGGCAGUAAGUUAAUACCUUGCUGUUUUGACGUUACCAACAGAAAAGCACCGGCUAACUUCGUG